rnacentral:rRNA from 1 species
AGAGUUUGAUCAUGGCUCAGAACGAACGCUGGCGGCAUGCCUAACACAUGCAAGUCGAACGUGAUCCAGGCUUCGGCCUGGUGAAAGUGGCAGACGGGUGAGUAACGCGUGGGAACCUGCCCUGUGGUAGGGAAUAACCGUGGGAAACUGCGGCUAAUACCCUAUGAGUCCUUCGGGAGAAAGAUUUAUCGCCAUAGGAGGGGCCCGCGUCGGAUUAGGUAGUUGGUGGGGUAACGGCCUACCAAGCCUUCGAUCCGUAGCUGGUCUGAGAGGAUGAUCAGCCACACUGGGACUGAGAUACGGCCCAGACUCCUACGGGAGGCAGCAGUGGGGAAUAUUGGACAAUGGGGGCAACCCUGAUCCAGCAAUGCCGCGUGGAUGAUGAAGGCCUUCGGGUUGUAAAGUCCUUCGGCGGGGAAGAUGAUGACGGUACCCGCAGAAGAAGCCCCGGCUAACUUUCGUGCCAGCAGCCGCGGUA